GGAAAAUUUGUCAGUGGUACAAUAUUUAUUGUUAUCAGUCAUGAUAGGAACUACAGGGGAGAGGUCUCUUUGAUGAGAUUCUAGCAUAGGCUUGUCAUGUAAAACCACUCCUGACCCCUUCUUCUUUUAUCCCUGCUUCUUAUCCUACUGUAUAAGACACAAAUAGAAAGUACAGCCUAAACAUAAGACAUACAUGUUUAUAUAAAACAAAUAUGUUUGCAUGCAUGAGAGAAAGACAGAAUUCUUUAUCCUUUCUAAAAGGUCCAUCAGAUUAAAUGGCAUUCUUCACUUCCUCUAUAAAACACACUAAUGCCCGCAACACACUGAUAACUCAUGGCUUAUAGCCCAUUCUCCAGCAUACCUGAGCACUUCCACUGUAGUAAUUGAGCUGUGUCUUUGUCCAUACUUGUUUUUUCCUAAACACUUGUAUGCCUGGAGGACUUGUAAUUAAAUGAUACAUUUAAGUGUAAUGAAAGUCAACUUAUAUUUGCAUAUUCCAAAUAUUUGUAUUCACAGACAAGUGUAAAAUCAGCUUGUUAUUUCUACGAGAAAGAUAUGGAAUAUCCUUAUUGCACUCUGUUUCUGAUUCAGUGACAUUUUCACAGCUUUUAUGUGUUGAUAUUGGACUGAGGUAGUACUCUGCACUCGUGCUGAACUGAACCUUUGAGACAGAAUUUUGGGCAAAGUGGAAAGAAAUACUUUUAUUGCUUUGCCUGGCAGGGGAACAUCUUGUGCCCUUUGUAAAGUGUCCCAACCUGUGGGAUUUGGUAAGGAGUUUUAUAGCAGUGGUUGAAGGGCUUGGUUGCUGAUAAGGAUCAGAGUUUGUGCAGAUACCAGUAGUCUUUGAGUCUGGCCUCAGGUGAUCUGAUGAGCUUCUGUGUUUCCUUGAAUCUAGCCUCAGGGAAGGUCAUGGAGGCUGAACAGAAAAUCUUCUGUGUACAGAAGCCCCACAGGCUCCUGCUGAGUUUCAGUGCUCAUAUUUUACAGGUAGAUUCUUUACUUCUUCAUGAUAAUGUGUCUUGUUAUUUGGCUCACAGUACUUU
ensembl:lncRNA